GGGUUGUGAGGUUAAGCGACUAAGCGUACACGGUGGAUGCCUAGGCAGUCAGAGGCGAUGAAGGGCGUGCUAAUCUGCGAUAAGCGUCGGUAAGCUGAUAUGAAGCGUUAUACCCGACGAUACCCGAAUGGGGAAACCCAGUGUGUUUCGACACACUAUCAUUAUGUGAAUACAUAGCAUAAUGAGGCGAACCGGGGGAACUGAAACAUCUCAGUACCCCGAGGAAAAGAAAUCAACCGAGAUUCCCCCAGUAGCGGCGAGCGAACGGGGAGGAGCCCAGAACCUGAAUCAGUUUGUGUGUUAGUGGAAGCGUCUGGAAAGUCGCACAGUAAAGGGUGAUAGUCCCGUACACAAAAAUGCACAAGUUGUGAGUUCGAUGAGUAGGGCGGGACACGUGACAUCCUGUCUGAAUAUGGGGGGACCAUCCUCCAAGGCUAAAUACUCCUGACUGACCGAUAGUGAACCAGUACCGUGAGGGAAAGGCGAAAAGAACCCCGGCGAGGGGAGUGAAAUAGAACCUGAAACCGUGUACGUACAAGCAGUGGGAGCCUACUUGUUAGGUGACUGCGUACCUUUUGUAUAAUGGGUCAGCGACUUAUAUUCUGUAGCAAGGUUAACCGUAUAGGGGAGCCGCAGGGAAACCGAGUCUUAACUGGGCGUUAAGUUGCAGGGUAUAGACCCGAAACCCGGUGAUCUAGCCAUGGGCAGGUUGAAGGUUGGGUAACACUAACUGGAGGACCGAACCGACUAAUGUUGAAAAAUUAGCGGAUGACUUGUGGCUGGGGGUGAAAGGCCAAUCAAACCGGGAGAUAGCUGGUUCUCCCCGAAAGCUAUUUAGGUAGCGCCUCGUGAAUUCAUCUUCGGGGGUAGAGCACUGUUUCGGCUAGGGGGUCAUCCCGACUUACCAACCCGAUGCAAACUACGAAUACCGAAGAAUGUUAUCACGGGAGACACACGGCGGGUGCUAACGUUCGUCGUGAAGAGGGAAACAACCCAGACCGCCAGCUAAGGUCCCAAAGUCAUGGUUAAGUGGGAAACGAUGUGGGAAGGCAUAGACAGCCAGGAUGUUGGCUUAGAAGCAGCCAUCAUUUAAAGAAAGCGUAAUAGCUCACUGGUCGAGUCGGCCUGCGCGGAAGAUGUAACGGGGCUAAACCAUGCACCGAAGCUGCGGCAGCGACACUUAGGUGUUGUUGGGUAGGGGAGCGUUCUGUAAGCCUGCGAAGGUGGCCUGUGAGGGCUGCUGGAGGUAUCAGAAGUGCGAAUGCUGACAUAAGUAACGAUAAUGCGGGUGAAAAACCCGCACGCCGGAAGACCAAGGGUUCCUGUCCAACGUUAAUCGGGGCAGGGUGAGUCGACCCCUAAGGCGAGGCUGAAAAGCGUAGUCGAUGGGAAACAGGUUAAUAUUCCUGUACUCGGUGUUACUGCGAAGGGGGGACGGAGAAAGCUAGGUUAUCCGGGCGACGGUUGUCCCGGUUUAAGCGUGAAGGUGGAUGACUUUGGUAAAUCCGGGUCAUUAUUAACACUGAGGCGUGAUGACGAGUCACUACGGUGAUGAAGUAACCGAUGCUACGCUUCCAGGAAAAGCCUCUAAGCUCCAGGUAACAUCAAAUCGUACCCCAAACCGACACAGGUGGUCAGGUAGAGAAUACUCAGGCGCUUGAGAGAACUCGGGUGAAGGAACUAGGCAAAAUGGUGCCGUAACUUCGGGAGAAGGCACGCUGAUGGUAGGUGAAGUGACUUGCUCAUGGAGCUGAAAUCAGUCGAAGAUACCAGCUGGCUGCAACUGUUUAAUAAAAACACAGCACUGUGCAAACACGAAAGUGGACGUAUACGGUGUGACGCCUGCCCGGUGCCGGAAGGUUAAUUGAUGGGGUCAGCCGCAAGGCGAAGCUCUUGAUCGAAGCCCCGGUAAACGGCGGCCGUAACUAUAACGGUCCUAAGGUAGCGAAAUUCCUUGUCGGGUAAGUUCCGACCUGCACGAAUGGCGUAAUGAUGGCCAGGCUGUCUCCACCCGAGACUCAGUGAAAUUGAACUCGCUGUGAAGAUGCAGUGUACCCGCGGCAAGACGGAAAGACCCCGUGAACCUUUACUAUAGCUUGACACUGAACCUUGAGCCUUGAUGUGUAGGAUAGGUGGGAGGCUUUGAAGCGUGGACGCCAGUCUGCGUGGAGCCAACCUUGAAAUACCACCCUUUAAUGUUUGAUGUUCUAACGUGGACCCGUAAUCCGGGUUGCGGACAGUGUCUGGUGGGUAGUUUGACUGGGGCGGUCUCCUCCCAAAGCGUAACGGAGGAGCACGAAGGUUAGCUAAUCCUGGUCGGACAUCAGGAGGUUAGUGCAAAGGCAUAAGCUAGCUUGACUGCGAGAGUGACAGCUCGAGCAGGUGCGAAAGCAGGUCUUAGUGAUCCGGUGGUUCUGAAUGGAAGGGCCAUCGCUCAACGGAUAAAAGGUACUCCGGGGAUAACAGGCUGAUACCGCCCAAGAGUUCAUAUCGACGGCGGUGUUUGGCACCUCGAUGUCGGCUCAUCACAUCCUGGGGCUGAAGUAGGUCCCAAGGGUAUGGCUGUUCGCCAUUUAAAGUGGUACGCGAGCUGGGUUUAGAACGUCGUGAGACAGUUCGGUCCCUAUCUGCCGUGGGCGUUGGAAGAUUGAGAGGGGUUGCUCCUAGUACGAGAGGACCGGAGUGAACGCACCACUGGUGUACGGGUUGUGAUGCCAAUUGCAUUGCCCGGUAGCUAAGUGCGGAAGAGAUAACCGCUGAAAGCAUCUAAGCGGGAAACUUGCCUCGAGAUGAGUCUUCCCUGGACACUUGAUGUCCCUGAAGGGCCGUUGAAGACGACGACGUAGAUAGGCUGGGUGUGUAAGCGUAGCGAUACGUUGAGCUGACCAGUACUAAUGACCCGAGAGGCUUAACCUUACAACACCGAAGGUGUUU
rnacentral:rRNA from 1 species